UACGUAGGGGGCUAGCGUUGUCCGGAUUUAUUGGGCGUAAAGAGCGUGUAGGCGGCUUCACAGGUCUGCUGUGAAAACUCGAGGCUCAACCUCGAGCUGUCGGUGGAAACCGUGGGGCUAGAGUCCGGAAGAGGAGAGUGGAAUUCCCGGUGUAGCGGUGAAAUGCGCAGAUAUCGGGAAGAACACCCGUGGCGAAGGCGGCUCUCUGGGACGGUACUGACGCUGAGACGCGAAAGCGUGGGGAGCAACAGG
rnacentral:rRNA from 1 species